UGGCUGGAGGCACAGUGGUUAGCACUGCUGCCUCGCGAUAAGGAGGCUCCGGGUUCGAGCCCCGGCCGGCCAG